AGAAUUAUUUUAAUUUGUUUUCAGGGUUCCAGCACAUCAUAUCGGAACAGCAAACAGCGGUCCAGUGAAGAUCAGGCGUGACGUCAUCGACAAUCUUCUCGGGUCAUUUACGUCCACGAUACCCACAACGACCACAUGAAUGAUUAUGUGGAGUCUAAACUCUUGAGGUCAAAAACCUUUAUCAAGAAGAAUAUAACAUUGAAAACUCUUCGGGAUGGGACUCCACCAAGUCCUAAAGUAGGCAAUUACAUCGCCCAACACAAGCUGAGACUUCAGCACGGCGAUCAGAUUGUCUCGGAGAAAGAGGAAGGUUAGUUUUUAAUUGCUCAUUGCUCUUCAUCGACCUCAUGGGUGUAGAAACAAUGGAUAAUGUAUCGGGUACGGCGUCAACAACCCAAGAGGAGAUGAAGAGCGGGAGCAAAACUCAUAUUUGAGAGCGUUUCUCGAAGAUAUGGCAAGUAAGGCAAGAUAAAUCAUCUUGAAUUGACAAACAUUCUCUUGUACUAUAAAUUUGUACCUACAAGAAUGUCUAUUUGUUUAUUUGUUCAGAGGUUGAAGGC
rnacentral:lncRNA from 1 species